GUGGAGUGGAAGUGGUGAAGUGGGUGCUCGUUAGUCGCUGGGGUAGAGUAAUGUGGAAGCAUUGCAUAGCUCCAUCAGCAGUACAAGCAUAAAGCUACAGAGACACUAAUCAAAGCAUGGAAACGAUACUUAAACUUUUUGUAGGAAUCUUUAUAUUGUUCCAACUGCAGUUGG